rfam:Macaca mulatta chromosome 12, whole genome shotgun sequence.
UGGCGCCCGAACAGGGACCUGGAAACGAGGGACACUGUGAGGAAGAGGACGCCGGAGGAUGGUCGACCGCUAACAAAGACAAAAGGAAUUAAACUGAUCACCGCGGGAACCUGCCGCGUCAGGAUCGAAGGUAAGUGAGGCGUCCGAAAUGGGACAAGAAAUAAGUCAGCAUCAAAUAUAUGUAGGACAAUUAAAAGAGGCUUUAAAGAUACGAGGAGUAAAGGUUAAAGGUAAUGAUUUGUUUAAAUUUUUUGAUUUUGUAAAAGAUAUUUGCCCUU